UCUCAUUUCACUCAUGAUACUUUAAGGAAGGUGGUAUUCUCUUUCACCAAUGAAACAAACUGAGAGGAAAUCUACCUUCUGCAAAUAGAGGCACACCAUAACCGAAUAUUUUACAUGAACAGCUGAGCAUCACAUACCAAGAGUGACAGCCAGUUUAAAAAAAGAGAGAGAGAGCUGCAAAGUUUGGAUCUUUUCCUGCCUUAGAAGCAAGAAAAAUGGAAAAUUGAUAAUUAAAGGAGAAACCUUCAUACCUCCCUCGCUGCUUUGAGCACAGAUUUCAUCCUUACCUGCCUAUCAUUGCUCAACUGACACUGCAGAUUUUAUAAUUACCAGUUAUCUCUCAGUGAUUCACU
rnacentral:lncRNA from 1 species